rnacentral:rRNA from 1 species
CCGGCUCAGGAUGAACGCUAGCUACAGGCUUAACACAUGCAAGUCGAGGGGCAGCAUGGUCUUAGCUUGCUAAGGCCGAUGGCGACCGGCGCACGGGUGAGUAACACGUAUCCAACCUGCCGUCUACUCUUGGACAGCCUUCUGAAAGGAAGAUUAAUACAAGAUGGCAUCAUGAGUCCGCAUGUUCACAUGAUUAAAGGUAUUCCGGUAGACGAUGGGGAUGCGUUCCAUUAGAUAGUAGGCGGGGUAACGGCCCACCUAGUCUUCGAUGGAUAGGGGUUCUGAGAGGAAGGUCCCCCACAUUGGAACUGAGACACGGUCCAAACUCCUACGGGAGGCAGCAGUGAGGAAUAUUGGUCAAUGGGCGAGAGCCUGAACCAGCCAAGUAGCGUGAAGGAUGACUGCCCUAUGGGUUGUAAACUUCUUUUAUAAAGGAAUAAAGUCGGGUAUGGAUACCCGUUUGCAUGUACUUUAUGAAUAAGGAUCGGCUAACUCCGUGCCAGCAGCCGCGGUAAUACGGAGGAUCCGAGCGUUAUCCGGAUUUAUUGGGUUUAAAGGGAGCGUAGAUGGAUGUUUAAGUCAGUUGUGAAAGUUUGCGGCUCAACCGUAAAAUUGCAGUUGAUACUGGAUAUCUUGAGUGCAGUUGAGGCAGGCGGAAUUCGUGGUGUAGCGGUGAAAUGCUUAGAUAUCACGAGGAACUCCGAUUGCGAAGGCAGCCUGCUAAGCUGCAACUGACAUUGAGGCUCGAAAGUGUGGGUAUCAAACAGGAUUAGAUACCCUGGUAGUCCACACGGUAAACGAUGAAUACUCGCUGUUUGCGAUAUACAGCAAGCGGCCAAGCGAAAGCGUUAAGUAUUCCACCUGGGGAGUACGCCGGCAACGGUGAAACUCAAAGGAAUUGACGGGGGCCCGCACAAGCGGAGGAACAUGUGGUUUAAUUCGAUGAUACGCGAGGAACCUUACCCGGGCUUAAAUUGCAGAUGAAUUACGGUGAAAGCCGUAAGCCGCAAGGCAUCUGUGAAGGUGCUGCAUGGUUGUCGUCAGCUCGUGCCGUGAGGUGUCGGCUUAAGUGCCAUAACGAGCGCAACCCUUGUUGUCAGUUACUAACAGGUUCCGCUGAGGACUCUGACAAGACUGCCAUCGUAAGAUGUGAGGAAGGUGGGGAUGACGUCAAAUCAGCACGGCCCUUACGUCCGGGGCUACACACGUGUUACAAUGGGGGGUACAGAGGGCCGCUACCACGCGAGUGGAUGCCAAUCCCCAAAACCUCUCUCAGUUCGGACUGGAGUCUGCAACCCGACUCCACGAAGCUGGAUUCGCUAGUAAUCGCGCAUCAGCCACGGCGCGGUGAAUACGUUCCCGGGCCUUGUACACACCGCC